ACAGUUUUUGAGAAGUGAUGGUAUCCUAGUGGUAUUUCCUUCUCACAUAUGAGUGCCAGAGGUCUCGAGUUCGAGUCUCUCUGUCACCACGGUGAACUGAACCUCUCCAAAUAAAAACUCCUCCAUACGAGUAGGGACAAGCAGUGUAUACUAACCCGUAGGUCCAGGCUGGAGGUGGGGUUUUUCCUGGAUAUGAGGCCGCUUUGCGGUGGGGUCUGUCACUAUAAAAAGUUUACUCUAACAGUUUUUAAACCAAGUGGUCGUGGUCUAGUGGCUUUCACUUGAAGAGGAGUCGCCCUGUUGGUCCAGGCCAGGGAUCGAUUCCCCUCAAGCGCGAAAGUGCUAAUCAUUUCCAUUUGGCCAGGGGCUUUCACCUGGUCUUCCCCGGACCCUGGGGGAAUUAAGGGCUUCAGCCCCGAACCUCCUGGUUAUCAAAAAAAA
rnacentral:lncRNA from 1 species